CUCCAGAUCCACAGUGACGACGUCGUUGCUGUGUGAGUCCCCUGCAGUCCAGUUGGAAGCGCUAGUUCUGUAACUGUGGUUCUCUGAAGAAGAAGAAGAGCAAAAAGAGCAGAUCUGUGUUAUUAAACAGAAGAACAGCAGCUGAUCUGCUGAAGGCAAAGAGCUGUUUUUCAUUUUUUUUUCCACUGUUUACACUGUUUUUACUGAAACUUUUGGAGAAAUAUUCUCUUUUUGAAAGGAUUGACCUCCUAUGGCAAGUUUUAUCCUGCUUCUAGUGUCCACUUUCUUACAUAGUUGUAAUUUACCUGCUGAAAUACAUCAAAGAAGCGCAACCCAACUGACAACAUCAUAUUGCUGAUGUUAGAAAAGAUUAUAUGUGAGGAUAUGGUGUCCAGAAGCUCCAGGGCUCGUAAAACAUCCUCUGCUGCUCUCAGGACAAAGUCAUCUCACAGACGAACACGAAAGAUUGAAAACAAAAAAGGAACACACCACUGUUCACAGUGUGGAAAGAGUUUUACUUUAAAGACAGAUCUCCAAAGACAUGAGCGCAUUCACACUGGAGAGAAACCCUUUCCCUGCUCAGAGUGUGGAAAGAGUUUUAGUUUAAAGUGUCAUCUCCAAAGACACCAACUCAUUCAUACGGAUGAGAAACCGUAUCACUGCUCAGAGUGUGGAAAGCGUUUUAAUACAAAGAAUAAUCUCGAAGUACACCAGCGCAUUCACUCAAGAGAACAACUGUGUUACUGUUCAGAGUGUGGAAAAAGUUUUACUACACAGAGUCAUCUCCAAGCACACCAGCGCAUUCAUACAGGAGAGAAACCGUAUCACUGCUUAGAUUGUGGAAAGAGUUUUACUCAGAGUAGUACUCUUCAAGUACACCAGCGCAUUCACACAGGUGAAAAACCCUAUCAUUGCUCAGAGUGUGGAAAGAGUUUUGGUAGAAAAUCACAUCUCCAAAUACACCAGCGCUUUCACACAGGAGAGAAACCAUUUUACUGUUCAGAGUGUGGAAAGAGCUUUACUUUACUGAGUCACCUCCAACGGCACCAGCUUAUUCACACAGGAGUGAAACCCUAUCACUGCUCAGAGUGUGGAAGGAGUUUUACUCAACAAAAUAAUCUCCUAUCACACCAGCGCACUCACACAGGAGAGAAGCUGUAUCAUUGCUCAGAGUGUGAAAAGAGUUAUACGGAAAAAGGUACCCUCAAGAAACACCAACGCAUUCAUACAGGAGAGAAACCAUAUCAUUGUGCAGAGUGUGGACAAAGUUUUAGAGAAAGUCGUGCCCUCAAGAAACACCAACGUAUUCAUACAGGAGAAAAAACUAAUCACUGCUCAGAGUGUGGGAAACGCUUCAGAAAUUCCAAAACACAUAAAUGCAUUAAGAGAGAGGAGAUUUGAGCACUGAAGAGACUUGGUCGAUCUGUUACCGUCUUUGUAAGAAGGCAUUUGUAAGUAUUCGAAGUGCUUCUGUGUUAUGUAUGAAUUUACAGCCUGUGCGGUCCUCUUGAUUUCAUCACAUUGGUCUUGACCCGGUGUUGAUGGGGAGAGCAAAAGAGAAGAAUUAGUAAAGCAACAAGUUACUGGGUGUUAGUGCUAGAAACCUCUUCCCAGUGGCCUUCACAUGUGUUGAUUAUGAAAUACUUUUACUGUCUACUUCAACUAUGGUACAUGAGGUGGAAUAUGAGACUUGAAACUGUUUUCUUUGGAAUUUGUCUUUGUUUAUUGUUGUGGAGUUAGGAAUGGUUUUGGAUUUUUGGUUUAUUUUGUUUAUUUGAAAGCUAAGUUAGGUCAUUUAUGGAGGAAAGUUUGUGUUUGCUUUGGGUUAUCUGCCAAAUACCGAUACUGGGCAUGCCUUGACACUAUAGAAUCAUGCUUGCUGUGACCAUAAAGUAGACAAUACACAAUAUCAAUAAACCUGUCUUUCAUUGUGUGUUAACCAGGAGUAGGACUAGUUUUCCUUUGAGGGGUUUAACUGCUUGCCAGUGCUAUUUAAUAUUUGUCAUACUACCUUCGUUCAGUUUGUUUAUCUUUUAUGAGCUGUUGUCUUUCUUUGUGUAUGUCUUGCAUUGCAUUUUUAUUACCAAUUGCUUUACUAUUAAAUUUGAAUGUAUUACCCAUUGUGUGCAUGUCUUGUCUCACAUGUACUUUACUAAAUUUGAAUGAAUUUGUUCACUGUUUGUGUUGACCAUCAAGUGUAUUUCAUUCUGAGACUACUUCAUCCUGUUGGCCAUCAUGUCAGUAUUUAGGCAUUUAGCAGAAUCUUUUUAUGUCACCUCAACGUUGCUAGAACAAUCCUCUAAUUUCUACACUGCUUUAAAUUAAAGAUUUUCUUUAAUGUUUUGACUGAUAGGAUUGAUGGCAAAACUAGCAUCAUGUAGUAAUGAGGUGUAACAUUAGGUGUCUGGGCCAUAGGUCGGGUCUGACACACACCAUCUCACCCAUAAAAGCAUAAAAAAAUAAACAGAAAGCCCAACAGCACGUGCCCAAACACCACUACACAGCACCAGUAGGUAACCCAAGUUGAAAUUGGUAGCAACAACACUUACAUAAAAAUAAGAAGUUAAUUUUAAAAACGAAUAAUGUUCCUCAAA